AAAAUAAAAACAGAGAACCAUAGAUGCGCAGACCUGAAGAACUUGGUAGGACGAACAUAAAAAUUUAAAAACAAAACCCACCCAACCUCGAUGGUCUUCCCCUAGCAGCUACAGCACCCACCCAGCCUCCCACCCGACACCACCGCAGUUACCUCUGUUCUGUACGGUACCCCACCAUCUCCGUCAGCCAGCCCUCUCAUGUUAUGAGUUGGUUUUUUCUGUCUUUUCUUCUUCCAUAAAAAUAAGGCACAUCAUUGAUUCCUUGGUUCUUUCUUUCAUUGCCCACCGUUUGGCCUUUCUGAUCUCUUCUUUCUUUCUGGGCAUUCAUCUCUAAACCUCAAAUCUCCCAUCUCCAGUCGAUUAUCUUCUUCUUCUUCUUCUCUUCGGAACCCAUCUACCCAAGGAGGAAAACUAGAAGACAAGGAAAAUGAAAAACCCCCCUCAGCCUCAGAAUUUGGAUCCGCUGUGAAUUAUCCAGCCUCGAUCGAAAUUUCAACUUUUCCGAGAGAGAGACUCCUCCAAGGGAAGGGAAAAGAGAGAGAGAGAGAGAGAGAGAUUGAAAUGGCAGCUCUACUGUACCAGAUAUUGUCGUCCUCAGCACUGGUGUCACUGGGACUCUACCACAUGGUGGCCACCACCCGCAACCACCUCAAGUCCCCACAGUCGUACGCCGCCAAGCCCUACCACCCCUUCCCUUUCUCCUCCUCUUCGUCUUCGUCUUCCAAUCAUCAUCGCCUCAGGUACUUGCAGCUCUACGCCGUCAUUGCCUUCCUCAUGGUUGCCGUCGCCCACCAGACCUUCACCUCUUUCGACGCCGAUCCACUCCUCAAGGGCCGUACCCCCGUCCACCGGUUCACCUCUCUGCAGUCCGCAGCCUCCCUCUUCCUGUUUCUGCUGCUUACACUCGCUCUGCUGCUCUCGGAAUGGGCUCCAUCUGUGCUGCCACUGCCCUCCGAUCUCGUCUUUGGCCUGGCCGCCGCCCUCUUCUACCUACAGUGCCUGGUCUCGUGGGGUGCCGCUUCGGUGCAGAUGUCGGAUCUGCAGGCCAAGUGUGACUCGGUGUCGGGUCGGAUCUCGGCGGUGGCAUCAGGGCUGUGCGUGGUGUUGGCAUGCCAGCCGAGGUUGUUUGUGGCAGAUGUGGGAUUGGGGGCGGCCAUGUGCCUGCAGGGGCUGUGGGUGUUGCAGACGGGGCUGUCGCUGUAUGUGGAGGCGUUCAUCCCGGAGGGAUGCCACAGGCUGCUGGAUGUGGUGAGUGGGGUCGAGGGUUCCACCAAGUGCGACCUCGACGAGUCCCGCUUCAGGGCCGUGGCCAUUCUGGAUUUGGUGUUCUUGGUCCAUGUCAUGUUCGUCUUGCUCAUUGUCAUGGUCACCUAUGCCGUCGUUUCCAAGUCUGUUGGCAUCCGCAGAUUGGGUUCUUACGAGGCCUUGCCCAACGCUGCUCCCUCCUCUGACCACAACAACCACAUUCAGAUGAAAGCCUUGAGCGGCACCCAGGCUUAGUUGACAACCACACCCCCACAAUCGACAUUGAGGAGGAGAAUCAGAGAGACUCCUGGUGCAGCUAGAGCAUGGGUAUCAACACUACGCAACACAGUUGGUUUUGAAGGUUAUAAAGAAGCUGUGAAUUCCUUGAGUGGCAAGGCAAUGGUUCUGCGAAACUCGGAAUGCUUACAGCAAUAGUUGCUGCUGCAAAUUCGACUGCUUUGGAGAUGUUUUGUGUAGUUUAGAUUAGUUUGUUAAUGGACUGUCUCUGGUUUCAAUUGUACUCUAUCAGUUCUAAGCUAACUCUGUCAAAAUAACAUUUCAAUAACUUUUUACGGGUAUUCGACUCAAAUAUAGUAGAUGUUGUGGCAAUUGUUGUGACAACCUUAUACAUGUCGUUGUGGUGAUUGUAAUUCACUUGGGGUAGGGUUUAGUGUUGUUAUUCCCACAAUA